rnacentral:rRNA from 1 species
UACGUAGGAUGCAAGCGUUGUCCGGAUUUACUGGGCGUAAAGCGCGCGCAGGCGGCACUCUAAGUACGUCGUGAAAUAUCCCGGCUCAACCGGGAGGGUGCGAUGUAGACUAGGGAGCUAGAGGUCGGUAGAGGGGGGGUGGAAUUGCUGGUGUAGCGGUGAAAUGCGUAGAGAUCAGCAGGAACACCCGUGGCGAAGGCGGCCCCCCUGGGCCGUACCUGACGCUGAGGCGCGAAGGCUAGGGGAGCGAACGGG